rnacentral:rRNA from 1 species
AUUGAACGCUGGCGGCAUGCCUUACACAUGAAGUCGAACGGCAGCACGGGUGCUUGCACCUGGUGGCGAGUGGCGAACGGGUGAGUAAUACAUCGGAACAUGUCCUGUAGUGGGGGAUAGCCCGGCGAAAGCCGGAUUAAUACCGCAUACGAUCCACGGAUGAAAGCGGGGGACCUUCGGGCCUCGCGCUAUAGGGUUGGCCGAUGGCUGAUUAGCUAGUUGGUGGGGUAAAGGCCUACCAAGGCGACGAUCAGUAGCUGGUCUGAGAGGACGACCAGCCACACUGGGACUGAGACACGGCCCAGACUCCUACGGGAGGCAGCAGUGGGGAAUUUUGGACAAUGGGCGAAAGCCUGAUCCAGCAAUGCCGCGUGUGUGAAGAAGGCCUUCGGGUUGUAAAGCACUUUUGUCCGGAAAGAAAUCCUUGGCUCUAAUACAGUCGGGGGAUGACGGUACCGGAAGAAUAAGCACCGGCUAACUACGUG